ensembl:lncRNA
CCAGGCACUGGAGGGUUUUUUUUUUUUUAAAGAUUGGCACCUGAGCUAACAUCGCUGCCAAUCUUCUUUUUUUCUUCUUCUUCUCCCCAAAGCCUCCCAGUACAUAGUUGUGUACUCUAGUUGUAGAUCCUUCUAGUUCUGCUAUGUGGGACGCCGCCACAGCUUGGCCUGACGAGAGGUGCCAUGUCCACACCCAGGAUCUGAACUGGGGAAACCCUGGGCCGCCGCAGUGGAGCGUGUGAACUUAGCCACUCGGCCACAGGGCCGGCCCCGAGGAGCUGCGAUUUUUAUUGCUCCACACAUGAUGCUAGGGGGCAGCCAGGGCUGAGAACCGCUGUGCUAGAUUCAGGAGUCCACAUUGGGUCCUUCUAGGCCCCCAGCUCCCCUGUGAUGAUCUCUCUUGGGCUCGUUUCAUGUUUUACCUAAAUUCCAAUUUGUGUGAUUUCAACUCUGCAUUUUCAUUCUUCCCAGGAGCAUCAGGCAGGGGCCAUUUUACAUAAACCAACCAGGCCUUCGGGGCUCCGACUCUGAUGGGAGGAGUCAGGAAACAGGUAGGACACAUUGCCCCUCCUGGAGCAAUGAUUCUCAACUCUUAAAACAUAUGCUGGGGCCUGCCCCAAAUGGAUUUAACUGGUUGGGGAUGAGUUCAGGAACUCACUCUUGUUUGAGAGUUCUCCAGUUGAUUCAGAUGCACAGCCGGAGUAGGGAAUCACUGGCUGGUGAACUCAUAGAUCCCAGAUCAUACUUGAAUGUUCUCAGACAUAGCUCAUUUUCUUAAUGUGUUAUUUAAAACAAAACCCUACAUUUUACUUUUUUCAAAUCUUGCCAUCAACUUUCCUUUGCCAGCAGAAAGCCACCUCCAUAAAUACCCCCAUACAGGGCCUACAUAGGAGACAGAUCUUGAACCAUUCAAUGUUGGACGCAGUCCAGUUCUCUAGGAGCAUCUAGUGACACACUCGUAAAAGCCUAGAACACACGCAUUUCUUUCUCUGUUGUUGUAGGUGUCCCUCAUGUGAAGUUUUGAAACGGCCUGCAUCUCUCUGUGAGGCCUUCCAAACCCUCAGCAAGCUCGGGCGCAUGUUGAGGUCAAGGCUGCUGACACAAUGAUGGAAUGUGAAUCUUUAUGCAACAACAUACAGAUGGCUCCAUUCAUUCUUUUGAAGCCUUUCAACGGUUACAAAAGUUACUAUUUAUUGGGUACUCAUGUGUCAGAUACCACACACUUUAUCAGAUAUUUACACUAUCUUGUUUAUUCUCAGCAGCCAUGCAAGGGAGGCAGGUAUUAAAAGUUCUGCUUAAAGAUGUGGAAACUGAGGCUCAGAGAGGUUUAGUGACUUGCCAGAGGCGGCAGUGAAUUGACGGUGGGGGAGGGGUUCACGCUUCCUCUGGCUGUGGCCAGAGCUCCAGUUCCAGCGGCCUGGCUGACCCAGGCCUACGGACUGCUCUCCUUCCACAUAAGCCCACUGGCCCUUCGGUCUCUGCCUCCUCCACUUCCUGCUUUGGCUUCAUUUCUAUGAAAAGCAAGAUGAUUUAAUUAUGUGUUAAUGAGUCUUCUAAGGCAGCAGAAAGUGAGGGGUAGAUGUGACAAUGUGUUAGGAAGCUGUUUUCUUUCCCAUGCUGGGGUGAGAUUCUGGGCUGCUACACAGAAAGGGCAGUUGUGGUUGGGCAAAAAUUGACCUGGAUGCGGCCGUCUGGUUUGUAUGCUGUAAGGGUGAAAAGAAAACAGUCCCUGGGACUCGAACACUGGUCCUGAACCUUCUUCUUGCUCCAGUUUCUGGUCCCCAGGACUGUCUGAGGUCUAAAGCCCCUGCGAUGAGGGUACAGGGUGGGUCACAGCUGUGAGGGAGGAAAAGUCACCUCAGGAGGCAGGUCAGGCCCUAAAGCACUUUGGGCUUCCCAUCCUUAAAAUCCAGAAUUUUCACAGCAUGUUCCACUGACCUCAAGGCUGGAAGGAACUGAGCAGCUGAGUUGCUCUGGGCUUCCUCCUGUCCUGGCGAAGGGGCUUCUGGGAAACACCAACAUCGGGCCUGGGAGCUGGGCUCUGCUCCACUGAGUUCCCAGGGAGGAGGCAACUGCGUCUUCAGGAGCGCCUUCCCCGUGCUUCCUCUGUGCUAAUUAGGAAAAGGGAAACAGCCGCCCAGAACAGGUGCUGCUCUU